rnacentral:misc_RNA from 1 species
AUUGAAUUGUUUAGUUCAGUAAUGGUUGUUUACUUGGUAAGUAAUUUUAUUACAGUACACAUUUGACAUGAGUUUUUUUUUUAAUUUCAGAAAAUAUCUUGUUUUUCGAAAAUAAGGUGUGGCCAAUCGCCCGUAUGAAUAGAAUCAUGGACAUAUAUUAUAAAAGUGAAAUACGUGAAUACACUGUGUCAAGCGUGGAAGUGAAAUUAAUUAUUAAUGACACAGAUUGUUCAGGAUUUUCUGACUCAGGAGUUGGGUUUCCAGAGUUUACAGGCACAAUAUUUUUAGCAAAUAACAUGGGUCUCGCAUUUUAUAGUUUGACAAUAUAUACAUGCAAUCAAAUAAUGAGCAAAGUUAUUUCUAAUGGGGACCAAUUUGUUGCUAAGUUACCUUUUUAUAGUAAGAGGAUGAAAUCAAAUUCUUAAAGAGAUACAAAACUUGCAUGCAUUCCGCAUUGUAUAUCUUACAAUGCAUUUUUAUUAUAUAUCUAGGUGUAUAAAAUAAUAUAUGAAGUAAAUAAACAUUAGUGUUGUUAAAAAUUAUUUUUUUUUUGGUAUCGCAGUGGAACCCAUUUACUGAUGAUAUCCUGGAUGCCCGGGUAGGCAGUCCUAAACCGUAUGUCGGCUUCAGCAUUUGGGGGUGCAAUACCGAACAAAAUCCCUGCGGAGUUGCGCAAACUUAUAAAACUAAAUUAAUUUUUUUUUUU